rnacentral:rRNA from 1 species
GACGUAGGGCGCGAGCGUUGUCCGGAUUUAUUGGGCGUAAAGAGCUCGUGGGCGGCUUGUCGCGUCGACUGUGAAAUCCCGCGGCUCAACUGCGGGUCUGCAGUCGAUACGGGCAGGCUAGAGUUCGGUAGGGGAGACUGGAAUUCCUGGUGUAGCGGUGAAAUGCGCAGAUAUCAGGAGGAACACCGAUGGCGAAGGCAGGUCUCUGGGCCGAUACUGACGCUGAGGAGCGAAAGCGUGGGGAGCGAACAGG